rnacentral:rRNA from 1 species
CGACCGGCGCACGGGUGCGUAACGCGUAUGCAACCUACCCAUAACAGGGGAGUAACACUGAGAAAUUGGUACUAAUACCCCAUAACAUCAGGACCGGCAUCGGUUCUGGUUGAAAACUCCGGUGGUUAUGGAUGGGCAUGCGUUGUAUUAGCUGGUUGGUGAGGUAACGGCUCACCAAGGCAACGAUACAUAGGGGGACUGAGAGGUUAACCCCCCACAUUGGUACUGAGACACGGACCAA